AAAUUCUCACUCAGUUCAAAACGAUCAGAAAAAGCCAGCAUUUUGUUACAUCGCCGGUGGCCGGAAUCAAUGGCGUCUCCGGCGAUUCAGAGAUCAACCCAUUUAUCAUCUACACCCGUAUCUUCUUCAUCUCCCCUUCAACGUCUCUCAACUUUCAAAGACAGAUCCAUCAACCCCACCCCUACUGCUACCGUUACUCCUACUCCAACCUCCGGCCUUACCCCAUUCACACCUGCCUCUUCCCCUCUCGAUUCCUUCACUUCCGAUCCCAUUUUCUCAUCCUUCCUAUCCUCCGACUUUGAUUCCACACGUUUCUCCUCCGCCGCACUUUCCUCCGGUUCUACCGCUUCACGUAUCGAGAAGCUUCAAGAAGGUCUCCGUCUCCUUGACCAUCAGCUUCGUCAUGAAGUGCUUACACGUCAUCAUGAUUUGCUCAAUCAGCUUACUUCAUUACGUGCUGCUGAAUCUGCACUUUCGACUCUUCGUUCAUCGGUUACGUCUCUUCAGUCUUCGCUACGUCGGGUCCGUUCUGAACUCUCUGAUCCUCAUCAA
rnacentral:misc_RNA from 1 species